rnacentral:rRNA from 1 species
CCUACGGGUGGCAGCAGUAGGGAAUCUUCCACAAUGGGCGAAAGCCUGAUGCAGCAACGCCGCGUGGGUGAAGAAGGUUUUCGGAUCGUAAAACCCUGUUGUUAGAGAAGAAAAUGAGUGAGUGUAACUGUUCACGUUUCGACGGUAUCUAACCAGAAAGCCACGGCUAACUACGUGCCAGUAGCCGCGGUAAUACGUCGGUGGCAAGCGUUUUCCGGAUUUAUUGAGCGUAAAGGGAACGCAGGCGGGCUGAUAAGUCUGAUGUGAAAUCCGUCGGCUUAACCGGAGUAGUGCAUUGGAAACUGGGAGACUUGAGUGCAGAAGAGGAGAGUGGAACUCUAGGUGUAGCGGUGAAAUGCGUAGAGAUAUGGAAGAACACCAGUGGCGAAAGCGGCCGUCUGGUCGGUAACUGACGCUGAGGUUCGAAAGCGUGGGUAGCAAACAGGAUUAGAUACCCUAGUAGUC